AACUAACCUAAUAAGUAAUAGUAUGACGUGCCAUAAGGGUAAUCAGUUGUCGUUUUGAUUCAAGUCUGUAUGUUGAUCUAGCGUUGGUGUGUGAUUUGUGCUUUGAAUUCAUUUGUCUUUAUAUGUAUAUUUUAGUUUCUACCGUCGAUGAGAGAUUUAUUGGCCAAUAAAUACAUUUCCGAAUAUUUUGUUUUAUUAUAAUUCUAUGUUAAUUUCUGAAAGCAUGUUUUCGAGAUUGGUUGUGCAUAUAUACGUCUGUCUGUCGGUGUAUACACCUGUCUGUACAUGUGCUUUUUUAUCUUUGUUAUGUGACUGUGUCUAUAUUAUACUUAUAUUCUAAAUCUCAAAUGAAGUGAAUAUAUGAUGUGUAUGCACUGUAAAACUAAAUAUAUAAGAUGAUGUGAAUAACUUGUACAUGAAAGUUCGAAUAAAAAAAAAAUACU
rnacentral:sRNA from 1 species